AUUGAACGCUGGCGGCAGGCCUAACACAUGCAAGUCGAACGAGUGGCGGACGGGUGAGUAAUGUCUUGGAAACUGCCUGAUCGAGGGGGAUAACUACUGGAACCGGUGGCUACUACUGCAUACUACCGGUUGAGCCCAGAUGGGAUUAGCUAGUAGGUGGGGUAAAGGCUCACCAAGGCGACGAUCCCUAGCUGGUCUGAGAGGGUGAUCGGCCACACUGGGACUGAGACACGGCCCAGACUCCUACGGGAGGCAGCAGUGGGGAAUAUUGCACAAUGGGCGCAAGCCUGACACAGCCACGCCGCGUGUAUGAAGAAGGCUUUAGGGUUGUAAAGCUCUUUCAGCGGGGAGGCGUUAUCCGCAGAGGAAGCACCGGCUAACUCCGUGCCAGCAGCCGCGGUAAUAC
rnacentral:rRNA from 1 species